GCACCAGCAAAAUCUGGUGCCGGGAUUGGCGUCCCGUUUUAUGUAUACGACGACACUGACGCGUUAGCGUCUUUUUU
rnacentral:sRNA from 1 species